UAUAUAUAUAUAUAUAUACUCCUAUUUCCAACCGUCCACGACCUGAGGUCAAGCAAUAAAUAAUCCAAAACACAAAUUACUACAACAACAGCAGAUCCGAGUAAUCCCACAAAGUGGGGGUUUGGGGAAGGUGAAAUGUACGCAGACCCUAGCACAGACCUUAGCCUUAGCUUAGAAGGUAGAGAUACACAAAUUAAAGAUAAAACUAUUCAAAAAAAACAAACAGAUAAUCUUAAAAAUAUGAAAAAACUUCUAUUAUGCACCGUAUGAAUGAAGAUCAUACAAUGAUGGGCGAAGCGAAUGCAGCCUAUUUAGGGGUUCAAUUGAACUUGCGAAUUUUGACACAAAUCAUAUAUAGAUAUAUAGUGAAAAGUACAUAUUGAUUUAAUACACAAUAUUGACAAGUACAUACCCAUUGGAGCUCUCAUUGUUAAGAGACAAAAGGAAAAAGUUUUUGUGUGUUAAGAGUGGAGAUUGUAAAGAAAUUGAGAGAUAGAUUUUAAUUUCGUAGGGUGAUAGUAGGGUUUUG
rnacentral:lncRNA from 1 species